rnacentral:rRNA from 1 species
UACAGAGGUCCCAAGCGUUGUUCGGAUUCAUUGGGCGUAAAGGGUGCGUAGGCGGCGCGGUAAGUCGGGUGUGAAAUCUCGGAGCUUAACUCCGAAACUGCAUUCGAUACUGCCGUGCUUGAGGACUGGAGAGGAGACUGGAAUUUACGGUGUAGCUGGUGAAAUGCGUAGAGAUCGGGAGGAACACCCGUAGCGAAGGCGGCGCUCUGGGCCGGUACUGACGCUGAGACGCGAAAGCGUGGGGAGCGAACAGG